GGAGUGUUGNGAUGGCUAAGGUUAUAAAAACUAAACUAACAAAUGUGCUGAUUAUCUUUGCAAACCUUUCUGUAAUAUUCGAAACACCAAUACAUUUUCUAAUUUUCUGAACCAACUCUUGUCCUUGGGUAAACGAAACAGCUAUAUCCUUCAAAUUGCUUGCAAGAAAAGAAAAGAUUAUAAAUUGGCAAUUAAAUACAUCCUAUAUUAUAUAUUAGAAUGCAUACAGAAUGCAACCGCAACAAAUGCUAGCGUUCAUGACAAUUGAAGAUUAGAAACAAAACAACAAAAGAGUACUGCUUCUGAGAAGUAAGCUGGAACUGUGCAGGAAUGUGCAAAUUAUGAAUAGGACUUUAAGAUCUCACUUAACAAAUGUGUUACUUUAUUUGAACAAAUUCUCGGAACCAAAUGCAACAAAAGACAGCCCAGAACAUAGAUGGGGUACUAAUUAAUAGGAUAUCCCUCUUAUCAUUAGCUUUAAAAUUGAAAAAAAAAUAGAUUUUAUUCACAAAACUUGACUGUUGAAACAAAGCUAGAUUGGAAAACAGGUUCUACUAAUUCUAAAGCAGAAUGCACGAAAUGUCUCCUAUAUUGUUUUUACUUCCCUUCAAACUUUAUCAGCGCUUGCGAAUGAAACUACGAGAGAGAGCUCGAACAAAUUGCAGUCAAAGCUUCAAAUUAUGCAGCCCCAAAUCCGAACAUAUUCAAAUAAUAUAUUUUGCUUGUUCGCCAUCACUUUAAUUAUCACAUAUUUGGUGUAACUAGAAUGAGACAAACUAAUCAAGAGAAGUAAAAUAACAAAAUUUGGACAAACCUAAUGAUCUCAAAGAAAUUCAUGCUGGACCAGAUCAGAUUUUUCCUUUUUAAAAAAAAAAUUAAAAAAAAAUAAAAGUAAAAUAAACAAGAUGAAAGCUAGCUAUAAGAAACCACUUGUUGAAUCUCAUUCAAACACCAAACCAUCCACCAGGAAAAGAUCGAAUCGGAGACAUACAACAUCAAUCGUGUAGGUCGACAUCAAGGAAACAAUAAAUUCACAACAAACAUCACUAAUCUAGACUAGCAAUUCAGAAGAUAAAGUAUAAGAACAAGAUGAACCUGCUUAACAAAUCUUCCUUUAACGUGACAGAGAUUCCCAACAAAUACAAUAGCAAGAGAAAUGUCGCUGCUACAAGUAAGCUCACAGCAAUCGGAACUCAGACGGAGACCAUUAAACCUAUGUCCUUAAAAUAGCUCAAAUCGAACCACUAGAACAACAAGAAAUCUCAGACCAUCUCCAUUUUUAACCCAAAAUUCUAAAUUUGAAACAGAAACCAAAGGAAAGAACAAAAGACAACAACAUUUUUUAUGUUUGUGCCAUUCAGGAAAUUAAAAUCGAAAAGUUUUUUUACUAGAGAAGAGAAAGACUCCUGAGUUCUGAACCCUAGCUCUCUUCUCCGAAUUUUUCUCCCUAAGAAUCCUCUCUAAUUUCUCAACCCCCCCCCCCCCCCCAAUUUAGGGGAUUAGAUACUAUUAUAUAGGGGUAGAGAUUAGGUUUGGGGUUUGUGCCUAGGAAUUAUGGGCUUGGGAAUUAUGGGCUAGGUCCAAAAUUAAGCCUAAAGAUGGGUUGCUCGAGCCCAAGCUUUAUUCUUUCCCCGCGAACGAGAUUAAAAAUGCGACCUUAUUUAUUAAAUAAUCCUACUUAAGUAAAAUAACUAUUAAAAUAAGACUGGCCGUUAAAACGAAACUAUUUUUGGUAUUUUUU
rnacentral:lncRNA from 1 species